GGAGCCGUUGCUAGGAAACGGAGCCGUGACACAGGGAAAUGGCUGCAGGACGGCCGCAGCCAACCCCCCGCAACCGGCGCACCUGCGCCCGUUCGCCGCGGCCCUGCCCUCACACGGCCCGCCCCCGCUGCAUGUUUCUUGAACACCACCAGGGAAUCCUCCAUCAGUGAUGUCCCAGUGCCCUCACAGCCAGCUGUCUCUUCAUCUAGUUAAAAAAUGGUCAUCCUGAAAGCACAUCUCAAAUGACAGUAAAAAGAAUUUAAAAGGGAGAAUGGCAUAUACAGCAAGAUCAAGACAUUUGCCCUCUUGAGUUUGCAGGGAUGAUGAGGAAGACAGCCAAGAAGCAGAUGAGAAGAUGAAGAAAGCAAUAAAGGAAGAAAGAUGAAAGUCAUAGCUGAGAUAUGUCAACAUGGUCAUGCUGGAUUUCACAUUUUCUGCAGAGACCAGGAAACUGUAUUCUCAUGUGAGCUUCUUUGUGGAAAUUUUGAUUAAAUUGAAGCCACAUUAA